GUGUCAGCAGCCGCGGUAAUACGAAGGGACCUAGCGUAGUUCGGAAUUACUGGGCUUAAAGAGCUCGUAGGUGGUUAAAAAAGUUGAUGGUGAAAUCCCAAGGCUCAACCUUGGAACUGCCAUCAAAACUUUUUAGCUAGAGUGUGAUAGAGGUAAGUGGAAUUUCUAGUGUAGAGGUGAAAUUCGUAGAUAUUAGAAAGAACACCAAAUGCGAAGGCAACUUACUGGGUCACUACUGACACUGAGGAGCGAAAGCAUGGGUAGCGAAGAGGAUUAGAUACCCUCGUAGUCCAUGCCGUAAACGAUGUGUGCUAGACGUUGGAAAUAUAUUUUUCAGUGUCGCAGCGAAAGCAUUAAGCACACCGCCUGGGGAGUACGACCGCAAGGUUAAAACUUAAAUGAAUUGACGGGG
rnacentral:rRNA from 1 species